UUUAUACAUUGCAUUGAUCUAAGCCAUGAGCAUCCAUUUUUCACACACAUUUCAGCUCAUGCUAAUAUUUCUAACCUUGAAGAAAGCUAUAGUAUGCCAUAUGUGAGUUUAUUUGAAAAAACGUUUAUCACAGAGAUAUUUUUCAAUUACAAAGAAAAACUAUCAAAAUCAGCUCAAAACAAUAAACCAUGUGAGAAACGACUUUGUCUAUAAAAUCAAAUUCUUUGCUGAUUUCGUGUAUUUGAAUGAAUGCUCCUUUGAAUGUGUUCUUCCUCCCUAAUUACCGAGAGAAGUCAGUAGAUCUUUUCAUCUUUUUUUCACUCGGUUUUCUUCAACCGUCUUUCUUCUUUUUGAUGUUGGGCUGAGCUCAAUUUUUAAAGAGUCUAGUCGAUCAGUUUUUAAAGAGGGUCUUUCAACAACUAAAUUACCAUGACUUAGUAGAUAGAAAAUGUUUAUUAUCACACGCAUAAAAUUGUUGUAGUAGAUUACUAUAUAAGGUGAAUUAAUACAUACUGUAUCACUUUUGGAUUUCGAAUAAUAUAAAAUUGUGAUACAUGAUUACUGUUUUGGUAAUAGUAUCAGUACAUAUUAGUAAUCAAAAUUGAAAUCAUUCAACUCAUUGAGUUUUCUAUAAGUCAUUAUUGCCACAACUUUUGAAGUAUAUUUUCGAACUGGAAAUGUUGUACUAUAUGCCAAUCCCCUUAUUAUUAAAAGGGAAGCAAAUAAAAAGAGAAACCUUAAAAAUGUAUUAUAUUUACAAUGGUGCCAUUAUGACGACGUGUCGCACAGUCAAGCCUUCUCAGGCUGCUUUUGAAAAAACCCACGCCCAGCUUAGCUAUUUACCACUAUUGCCAUUGGACUAACCCCAACAUUUAAUUGCAUGUUCCUUAUAUAUAAUGUAUAAAACAUGGUUAUCUGGCAUACAUUAGUUUCAGACAAAUCAUCUCCUAUCUCAUAUCUCAUAUUGUCACGUAGUUAGUAAUAAAAAGCCAUGAUUUUACACAGUAUUUUGACCAAUCUAAAUGUUUACAAUAUUAUAUUAUAAUUCCAACGAACUAUUUAAUUGAUUUUUACAUUUCCUGUAUUUGGGACUAUUUCUUGGUCAAGAACUUAAUAGAUUAUUUUUCUAGCGGACAAUAUGUAUUGUACGUAUGUUAAUAUAUUGUCACGUAGUAACUAAUAAAAAAUCAUGAUUUCCAUAGAAUUUUGACCAAUCUAAAUGUUAUCCCAUAGAUUUAUAAUCCCAACGAAAUAUACCAUUAUGAUUGUUACUGUGUUCAUACUUUGUAUGAUCAAGGUAAAAUGAAUAAUUUAUUUUCUGUAAUUCAUAAUUGAGGAUUUCAUCUUUAUGAUCUUACCUAUUAUGUAGUCAAUCUAAUAUAAAAAAUUAGGGAUAUUUUUGUGUCAUCUUCAUCUCUACGGAAAUCAUGUUCUUCAUUCGAGUCAAAAUCAUAUUGUUUAUGGUAAUACUUGAUUGCCAUGAUUAACGGUAGCUGUUAUAUGCAUUGAGUACUGCUUGACGUGAUUACUAAUACAUUUUCAAUCCCAUAAAGAAAUUCUUUGACUUUCAAUUUGAAUUUAGUCCUAAAAUAGUUUUAUUUGGUAUUUAUUAACUUCCUAAAAUUUCAAUAUCUUAUAAUACCUUAAACCCGGAUUGUCAAUUUGUUUGAUUGCACGUAUAUGUGAUAUAUCAAUCGCAUUUAUUAGUGAAUAAGUUGGAACUUAUAUAAAUACCGAAGAAGAUACUUCUUCGACCAUAUCAUCAUCUUUUCUGUAUUCAUUAUUCUCUAAAAGUUUCUUUUCCCCUAUGAUUCAAAAAAAAAUGGCAGGUUUAGAUUUUGUUAGCGACUUGAAGCUUUUCAAGUCAGUGUGGAAAAUAAGAGUUAAGGUGAUUCGUCUGUGGAAGCAGUAUUCUUGUGCUUCCGGAGAAACGAUGGAAAUGGUGUUAGCUGAUUCUAGAGUAAGUCUGUUGUUAUCUGUCUAAGACUUCAUCUAAUAGACUUAUUAACAUAUAUAUUUGACCAUAUCGUUCAAGUUUCCUUAUGUUUUUACUGUAUUUUUCAGGGUGAUAUGAUCCAUGGUACUGUGAAAAAAGAAAUGGUCAGCCAGUUUGAAACUUUAAUCAGUCAAGGUGAAUCGAAGUUGAUGGUGAAUUUCACCAUGGCAUCCAGUUCUCUUUAGUCAAUAUGGAGUUCGUUUUCUUUAUAUUUUGUUACUAGACUUAUGUUCACUUUUUUUCCUAUGACCUAAAUACAUUUUACUUUACUCUCAUUGACAGGUAUGAACACAUUAAGUGUGUAGCAGUUGGAGAAGUUGCUCUGUUUUUACAUAAUUACUGGAACUCAACCAAUGUCCCUGUUGUCCUAUGUGUGUUACAGUUUUGGAAAUUGAUUGGGGUGUUGGUAACUUACAGUUCUAAUACUUUAGUUGCUGUAUUUGUUAAUUUUGAUAUUCGUUUAUGGUGACGUUUAUUUUUUGGAUCAUGAUCAGGUGGAUUCAAGCACAUGGCAACAAUUGAUGGAUUUUCGAGAAUUUUAUUUGAGCCUGAUGAUGUUCCAGAGAUCCAGUCUUUCAGAAUGAGUCGGGAUUCAAAUAAGGAACACAUAGUGGAGGGCUGAAAAUCUUCGGGAACCAGAAUCUUCAUUCACACGAGUUGCUGAGUUUUUAAAUUUUGUUUUGAAGGAGAAGAUUCACGAGACCGAAAUCAUCGAGAUAAACCAAAUACACAAAAUUGAAGAUGAGGAAGGUGUAUCACCCAAAAGAUUACAAGUGACAGCUAAUUCUAGAUGAAUCGAACAAAUUUAAUUUUUCUGUAAUAACCCUUAUUUUUUUUUCAGGCAAAGUAAUUGAUUUUCGUGAGACGAAGAAAAGUUCUUUUUUUGUUUUUAACAACAAUCUUUUUUUUUAGUCAAAGACAAGUUAUUUUUUUGGGCCUUAUCCUCUUUCAUUCAAAAGAAAUGGAUUUUUGAAGAUAAUUUCUUUUUC